AUAUCGUAGCUCUUUGAAACCUGAGACUGUACAAACUUUGAUUUGUACUAGAGAUUGGUUGCAUCAUAAGCUUGGAUUGGAGCAGUCAUCAAAUGUUGAUGAAGAGUUUAUGCAAUGGAACACAGAGACUGGUCUAAACUAGACUACUUGAGAAUUUGAGAUUUAUUAUGUUUAUUGUGUUUCUUGAACUCUUUUGUAGAACUUGAUUUGUAUGAGAUAUUUUUUAGUUUGUUGGGGUUUCACUUAGACCAUUUAACUUCUUUUUGAUUGUCAUUGCCUUUGUGCUUGGAUGUGGUUAAUACAUAACUUGAUCAUUUUUCCUUUUCUAAGCAUAA